GUAGUAUAGGUUGAGAGGGUGAUGAAGGUGGUGGAAGAUUGAAGGAGGUGGAAGAUGAAGAUUGUGAAAUGGUGAAGAAAAUGGUCGAGAGGAAGCUUGAAUAAGGGGGAGGUUGAGUUUAUAUAGAAUGAGAGUGAGAGGAUUCAGUUAGAGGAGAGUGAUUGUGAGCCCUUGGAUUGAGAGGAUUCUGUUAUGAGAUUAAGGGUGAGAGAUUGAGUUGGUUAUUGUUCUGUUUUUGGUAGUUAAAAUUCUGUUAACUGUUGGUUAUAUGUUGUUUUUACAGUUAGGAGGGUUAGUUGCUAGGAAAAGUUUGUUAUAAUUUGUUAAACCUGUUAGUUAGGUUGUUAGGUAGUUGGAAAGAUAGUGAUUGAAGUUAGUUAAAAACAGUUAGUAACACACUUAAAAUUAAUGAAAUCAGUUAUGUUAACACUUAAUUGGAAUAUUAGUUAGAAAUUGUUAAAAGGUAAAGUUGUUUAAAACUGUUAGUAAGUUUAGUAAAACUGUUAGUAAGAUUGUUGCAUUCUUGUUAGUUACAGUUAGUUCUAGUAGUUUGUAAGUGUUAGCUUUGUGAUCAGUCAAACCGUUACUGGCUGCGGGAUCUUUGUCUUGGUUUGCCUUUGAAGUAUUCUCUCAAAUUUGGCUCGAACCUGUUUGUUGCACUGAAUUUAUAUUUGUCCACGUGUUGAUAUAGUUUUGCGAAUGAAGUAUGAGUUUGGUAUCUUUGAUGAUGUACAUUAUGCGAUGACUGUUGUGAAUCGGCUUGGAUUAAAUGUAUGCUGAACUGACAUGAUUUCUUGAUUGGAUGAAAGCUAUAUGGUUUGAUUGUCUUAAUGCUGCAGGUAUACUAACUUUUGUUCAUGUAGUUUCUAGGCUUGAAUUGGUUAUUUAAUGGUAUUGGUUUAGAAAUAAUGCUGAUGGUUUUGUUAUGUAUGUAGCUGAACUGGUUAAAAAAAUCGAACUAGGGAAUUGUUAGAGGUUUUUGGACUUCAAAUGUCAAUAAGUUAGAACUUAACCUUGUAUUUCUCUUAUGCCAAUUCUGAAUUGGUGUUAUGGUUUAUAAUUGUAAUGCUGCAGGUUAGGGGACUGAUAUGAGGAGCCUUAUGCUUGCAGCAUGGUAGACAUUGCAGGGAUGUAUCUGAUGGCAUGGAAUUGUCACCUUUUUUUGAGUUCUAGCAUGAGCAUUGGUUUGCAGCUUGAAUGUCGCGAGGAUGCGCUACUUGGGAAUAGUGUGAUGAAGAUGGCAAGCUUGAUGAGGAAACUUGGAUUUUUAGGAGGAAAUGCAAUUCUAUGUAUUUGUAAUUUUAUGAGCAGUAGGUGUUGUAAUGGGAUAUGGAUGUGCCAUGUAAUAUGUGAUGAAUGUAUAUUAAGAUGGGGUGUGAUAUGUUCUGAAAAAAACAAUGGAUUUGAACUGGGUUCUUUUGUAAUCUCUUGAAUUUCAAGUGACAUCUCCAUGUGAUCCAAUGAUUUUGUAUUUGAGAUGAAUUCCCUUCAA